rnacentral:rRNA from 1 species
GGAAACGGUAGCUAAUACCGCAUAACGUCGCAAGACCAAAGUGGGGGACCUUCGGGCCUCAUGCCAUCAGAUGAACCCAGAUGGGAUUAGCUAGUAGGUGGGGUAAUGGCUCACCUAGGCGACGAUCCCUAGCUGGUCUGAGAGGAUGACCAGCCACACUGGAACUGAGACACGGUCCAGACUCCUACGGGAGGCAGCAGUGGGGAAUAUUGCACAAUGGGCGCAAGCCUGAUGCAGCCAUGCCGCGUGUAUGAAGAAGGCCUUCGGGUUGUAAAGUACUUUCAGUAGGGAGGAAGGUGUGAGCGUUAAUAGCGUUCACAAUUGACGUUACCUACAGAAGAAGCACCGGCUAACUCCGUGCCAGCAGCCGCGGUAAUACGGAGGGUGCAAGCGUUAAUCGGAAUUACUGGGCGUAAAGCGCACGCAGGCGGUUUGUUAAGUUGGAUGUGAAAUCCCCGGGCUUAACCUGGGAACUGCAUCCAAGACUGGCAAGCUAGAGUCUCGUAGAGGGAGGUAGAAUUCCAGGUGUAGCGGUGAAAUGCGUAGAGAUCUGGAGGAAUACCGGUGGCGAAGGCGGCCUCCUGGACGAAGACUGACGCUCAGGUGCGAAAGCGUGGGGAGCAAACAGGAUUAGAUACCCUGGUAGUCCACGCUGUAUACGAUGCGAUUUGGAGGUUGUGCCCUUGAGGCGUGGCUUCCGAAGCUAACGCGUUAAAUCGACCGCCUGGGGAGUACGGCCGCAAGGUUAAAACUCAAAUGAAUUGACGGGGGCCCGCACAAGCGGUGGAGCAUGUGGUUUAAUUCGAUGCAACGCGAAGAACCUUACCUACUCUUGACAUCCAGCGAAUCCUGUAGAGAUACGGGAGUGCCUUCGGGAACGCUGAGACAGGUGCUGCAUGGCUGUCGUCAGCUCCGUGUUGUGAAAUGUUGGGUUAAGUCCCGCAACGAGCGCAACCCUUAUCCUUUGUUGCCAGCGGUUAGGCCGGGAACUCAAAGGAGACUGCCAGUGAUAAACUGGAGGAAGGUGGGGAUGACGUCAAGUCAUCAUGGCCCUUACGAGUAGGGCUACACACGUGCUACAAUGGCGUAUACAAAGAGAAGCGACCUCGCGAGAGCAAGCGGACCUCAUAAAGUACGUCGUAGUCCGGAUUGGAGUCUGCAACUCGACUCCAUGAAGUCGGAAUCGCUAGUAAUCGUGGAUCAGAAUGCCACGGUGAAUACGUUCCCGGGCCUUGUACACACCGCCCGUCACACCAUGGGAGUGGGUUGCAAAAGAAGUAGGUAGCUUAACCUUCGGGAGGGCGCUUACCACUUUGUGAUUCAUACUGGGGUGAAGUCGUAACAAGGUAACCGU